GCUACUGGAAACUCGGGCUAAUACCGCAUACGUUCUACGGACCAAAGAGGGGGAUCUUCGGACCUCUUGCUAUGAGAUGAGCCCACGUCCGAUUAGCUUGUUGGUGGGGUAAUGGCCUACCAAGGCGACGAUCGGUAGCUGGUCUGAGAGGACGAUCAGCCACACUGGAACUGAGACACGGUCCACACUCCUACGGGAGGCAGCAGUGGGGAAUAUUGGACAAUGGGCGCAAGCCUGAUCCAGCAAUGCCGCGUGUGUGAAAAGGCCUGCUGGUUGUAAAGCACUUUCGCGGGGAAGAAAGGUGUAAAGUUAAUACCAUCUCACAUUGACGUUACCUGCAGAAUAAGCACCGGCUAACUCCGUGCCAGCAGCCGCGGUAAUACGGAGGGUGCGAGCGUUAAUCGGAAUUACUGGGCGUAAAGCGCGCGUAGGCGGUUUGUUAAGUCAGCUGUGAAAGCCCCGGGCUUAACCUGGGAAUGGCAGUUGAUACUGGCAGGCUAGAGUGUGGUAGAGGGGUGUGGAAUUUCCGGUGUGCAGUGAAUGCGUAGAGAUCGGAAACCCCGGG
rnacentral:rRNA from 1 species